UGGGGAAUAUUGCACAAUGGGCGCAAGCCUGAUGCAGCCAUGCCGCGUGUGUGAAGAAGGCCUUCGGGUUGUAAAGCACUUUCAGCGAGGAGGAAGGUGGUGAGCUUAAUACGCUCAUCAAUUGACGUUACUCGCAGAAGAAGCACCGGCUAACUCCGUGCCAGCAGCCGCGGUAAUACGGAGGGUGCAAGCGUUAAUCGGAAUUACUGGGCGUAAAGCGCACGCAGGCGGUUUGUUAAGUCAGAUGUGAAAUCCCCGGGCUCAACCUGGGAACUGCAUUUGAAACUGGCAAGCUAGAGUCUCGUAGAGGGGGGUAGAAUUCCAGGUGUAGCGGUGAAAUGCGUAGAGAUCUGGAGGAAUACCGGUGGCGAAGGCGGCCCCCUGGACGAAGACUGACGCUCAGGUGCGAAAGCGUGGGGCAGCAAACAGGAUUAGAUACCCUGGUAGUCCAGCGCUGUAAACGAUGUCGAUUUUGGAGGUUGUGCCCUUGAGGCGUGGCUUCCGGAGCUAACGCGUUAAAUCGACCGCCUGGGGAGUACGGCCACAAGGUUAAAACUUAAAUGAAUUGACGGGGUCAUAGCUG
rnacentral:rRNA from 1 species